UGCCCGCAGCGCCCUCGCCGGCCGGCCCGCGGCCGGUCGAUGCAGGGGUUGCCGCACCCUGGCCGCCCCCAAGGACGGGACGACAAUGCCU
rnacentral:sRNA from 1 species